CAACCUUCCAGGGUUGCCUGUCCCUAAACAAUGGAGAGUAAAACCCAACACUCAGCUCAUGGGGCAUAUCUCAGUCCUCUAUGCCCAAAGACACCUGAAAGUGAAUCAGUUUCAAACCCUGUGUUGCAAAAGAGAACAUGACAUGAGCUAUGACGGUUCCGGGGGAUAGCAUAUCACAGAAACAGAGACAACUUGCUGUAAGAGAUAUCUACAUUUGGCCUCCAGGAGUGUAAUUUUUCCUUCUGUCUUGAGCAAACUCGUAUGAACUACAGAAUGGCAUUUUGCAAUAACUGCAGAGCUGAAUGCUGGGCUCUGGGGGAAAGAAUGAGAGUACAGAAGCUAGCAGGUCACAGAGUGCUUGGACCCUGCUUCCUGAGCAUAAUCCUGAGGAGGCGGCACAGAUCUAUAAAGGUAAUUUUUACAGAAACUCUGAGAACGCAGCAGAGUCUGGAAAUAAAAGAAAUCACAAAUAUUGUAGCACAAAUGAAGCUAAGAGGACAGGGCUGGAGCAGAAAGGGGCAUAUGGAUAUAGAGAUGACUUAACAUCACCUUGCUUAGACCAAUCGCAAGGACCAGGAAGGGAGAAGUGCACUUCAGUGGGUGUUCCUCUAGGUAGAGGAUCGGAGUCCAGAUGUCUGCCCCAGAUGUCUUGGCAUUGCUUAAUAGACGUGAACUGGGAUGCAACCCCAGGAAGGCAGGAAAACAGGAGGGCUGAAAUGACUCAGAUGAGUUUCUACCUCUUCAGUGGAAUGGGAGCUCAAAUUGUUAUUAAACUAAUUUUGUGGGCUGGAUUCAUGCUGCUGAACCAGUGUGCCCGUCGGCUGGGUCACCUUCCUGCUGGAAUGAGGCAGAGCUGGAGAGAGAAGGCAGAGAGGAUGGGCGCGGGGAAACGGAAGCGCAGCCUUUCUGCAGUACUUUUUGCUGUGCAUCGCAGUCUGCUCACAGCCAGGGUGGAGAGGAGGUGCAGGCCUGGAGGUUUGUCCUCUUGAGCAAAGCCUGAACUUUAACGGGAAUUGAGGCCGUCCCUGGAUGUCUCAAGCGAAGCUGGUAACCAAAACUGCUUUUAUUUAUGGGCAUGUCAGAAAGUUAGAAUUGAGGGGAGAGGCCUUGGUUUAUAGAGAAGAGGAAAUCCAGGGGCCCAAACAUCAGGCUGGCCGUAUUUUCAUUCACUGGUUCCAUUUAACAGCUUCUCACAACAUAUGCAGUUUAUAUUAUGGUAUCCGGCACAUGUAGACUUUGGCUGGGGUUAUCCUCCUGAGUUCAGAAUUUAUGAUCGUGCAAAUAGACAUUGAAGCAAAGAGUAGUCACACCAGAAUAACCAGAGAGAAAAGCCUUUGUUCUAUUUCUUCUGGGUCAUGUUAACUCUGUCCUCACCAAAAGAAGAACAAAGGGAUCUCUUUUUCCCCAAAAAGAGGCUGGGCAGGAAAUGAAUACUCUGAGAUUCAGCUCUGGACUUGGGGAAAUGUAGCUUCUCGUUCUUUCUCUUUCAGUUCCCUGGAGCAGAAGGCUUAAGAAGGAAGGGAGGCCACUGAGCCCUUUUUCGGCUCUAAGAAAAAUGAGGUCAUUUGAGCAAGGAAAACAGCAGACUGGUCAUUUAAUAGCAGGCCCCAGAAACCAUAUAAAUACUUCCUCAUUAGAGCAGCCCAGCAUUUUACAGCCAAACUCAAAACAGGGGCCUUUGAAGUCAAAAGGAGUCAAAUUUGAGUAAAGGCUGUGAGCAUGUCAGUUUCACUGAGGAAUGCUGUUACAAAAUGCUUUUGUGGGGUUUAUCCAGUCACUGUGAAAUUACAUUUAGUUGAUGUGAGAGUAAUUGUCGGGUGAGGAAACCUGGUUAAAGAAAGAGAAAAUUACACCAUUGCCUGGAUAUGAUGAUUUAUGUAAUUAUCUGGAUACCACUUGCAAAUUAUAAUGAAGUUCUGUAACGUUCCCUUCCAGUGUACCUACUUUUUACACUAUCAGUGCAUCUUUGUGCUCAAGAGUUUGAGGCAGCAUCAAGCACAACCCAGGGCUCCUUUUUGCAUUUUCACUAUCAGGGAAAACAGAAGAGAUGAUGGGAGAGAGCCAGCAUUUAAUGGAUCACUUACCAUUGGCCAGAUACUGUUGAAACACUUUAUUAUUAUUUCCACUUUAUAGAUGAGGGUGUUGAGGUUCUGUGAGGUUAAGUAAUUUCUCCAAGAUCACACAGCUAGAGAGAAGCUGAGCCUGCUUUAAAACCAGGUCUAUCUUCCUUUCUUCCUUCAGUCCUCGUCCUGCUCAACUCCCCCUGACUUUUGAGCUCACCACCUCUACACUGCUUUUGGUGGAGCCACCAAAAAUGUCGUUCAACUUCUUGAAUGUCUAGACUGAGCCUUUUCAUUUGGUUUCCUCAGGACUUACCAUGAUGCCGGCAUGUAAUGGGUGUUUUAUAAGCAUUUGUUGAAUAAUAAAUAAAUGUUUUAGCUUCAAAACUCA